rnacentral:rRNA from 1 species
UGGGGAAUAUUGGACAAUGGGCGAAAGCCUGAUCCAGCUAUGCCGCGUGUGAAGAAGGCCCUCGGGUUGUAAAGCACUUUCAGCGAGGAAGAACGCCUAGGGGUUAAUACCCCCUAGGAAAGACAUCACUCGCAGAAGAAGCACCGGCUAACUCCGUGCCAGCAGCCGCGGUAAUACGGAGGGUGCAAGCGUUAAUCGGAAUUACUGGGCGUAAAGCGCGCGUAGGUGGCUUGAUAAGCCGGUUGUGAAAGCCCCGGGCUCAACCUGGGAACGGCAUCCGGAACUGUCAAGCUAGAGUGCAGGAGAGGAAGGUAGAAUUCCCGGUGUAGCGGUGAAAUGCGUAGAGAUCGGGAGGAAUACCAGUGGCGAAGGCGGCCUUCUGGACUGACACUGACACUGAGGUGCGAAAGCGUGGGUAGCAAACA